UUGAUGAUGUUGCUCCUUGUUUUCGUGAUAUUUUGCUUUUGUAAGGGUGAAUAAAUGAUAAGAAUAAUUUAUGGAUUAAUGAUUUUUAUUGUGUAAAUAAACCAACUAUUUAUAUAGUCUCAAUAAGUCCAUUAAUUGAACUGAUUGAUUUUUUCAUGAUUAAACAGCAUGCAGCCACAUUUUUUAAAAAAUCUAGGUUUGUGUGGGAGGGGCUCAAGGUUUUGUCAGCUUCAGCAGAAUAACUUAUUGAGACAACACUGACUUUCCUUCAUUGAGAAGUCUGGACACAAACUACAGAAACAUGUUGCUCAUCUCUUCUGUUUUGAUUUUUAUCCUCAGUUACUGUGAAUCUAAUGGAAAUGUCAUCAAACCAAGCCAGCUAUCUGUAGUUUUAGCUGAAGGAAGCAGCACCACUCUGUCCUGUUCAUAUGAUGGAUCAGCUUACAGUCUUCACUGGUAUCGACAGAAGCCUGGAUCAAAACCAGAGUUUCUGCUGCUGAUUGUUGAGUCUUCCAAGUAUGUCAACAAAGCUGACCAACCUCACCCACAUAUGUCCAUCAGACUCCAUGAUAACAAAAGUGUGGAUCUGGUGAUCUCCUCUGCUGCUGUAUCAGACUCUGCAGUGUAUUACUGUGCCCUGCAGCCCACAGUGACAGGAAAACCCUCUACACUGUGGUCUUUCUCUGAGAACUACUCUAGCCUACCCUUUUAG